rnacentral:rRNA from 2 species
AGGUGUGAUCAUACCAACACUAAUGCACCGAUCCCAUUAGAACUCCGCAAUUAAGCGUGCUUGGACGAGAGUAGUACUAGGAUGGGUGACCUCUAGGGGGAAGUCCUUUUGUUGCACCUC